UACGUAGGGGGCAAGCGUUUAUCCGGAAUCACUGGGUGUAAAGGGUGCGUAGGCGGUUAUGCAAGUCAGAUGUGAAAUGUCGAGGCUCAACUUCGGAACUGCAUUUGAAACUGCGUGACUAGAGUACAGGAGAGGUAAGUGGAAUUCCUAGUGUAGCGGUGAAAAUGCGUAGAUAUUAGGAAGAACACCAGUGGCGAAGGCGACUUACUGGACUGAAACUGACGCUGAGGCACGAAAAGCGUGGGGAGCAAACAGG
rnacentral:rRNA from 1 species